UGAAGAUAUUUAGGGGCACACGGUGGAUGCCUUGGCAUGGGAAGCCGACGAAGGACGUGGCAAGCUGCGAAAAGCUGCGGAGAGGCGCAAACAGCCUUUGACCCGCAGAUAUCCGAUACGGGGAAACCUGACCUGGGUUAUGCUAGGUCGGCCCAUCCUGAAUCAAAUAGGGAUGGAUGCAGGUAACCCGGGGAACUGAAACAUCUCAGUACCCGGAGGAAGAGAAAUCAACCGAGAUUGCGCGAGUAGUGGCGAGCGAAAGCGCACAAAAGCCCAAACCGCAUGUGAGCGUUAUACCCUCGGGGGGAUGCCACAGCGGGGUUGUUGGGCAUAUGAGUCUUAAAGCCCGAGUCUUUAAGCGGAGUAUGUGUCAUCGUUAUAGCAAAACGGCAUGGGAAGGCCGGCCAAAGAGGGUGAAAGCCCCGUAUGCGAAAUAGCGAUACACGCCGAGUCAUAUGACCCAGAGUAUCGCCGGGCACGUGAAACCCGGCGAGAAGCAGGGGGGACCACCCUCCAAGGCUCAAUACUCUCCCAUGACCGAUAGCGAAUUAGUACCGUGAGGGAAAGGUGAAAAGCACCCCGAGAGGGGAGUGAAAUAGUACCUGAAACCGUGUGCCCACAAGCAGUCGGAGCAGAGCAUUUUGCUCUGUGACGGCGUGCCUUUUGUAGAAUGAGCCAGCGAGUUGCCGUAAUGCGGCGAGGUUAAGCUUUAUAAGCGAGCCGCAGCGAAAGCGAGUCUUUAAACGGGCGCUUUUAGUCGUAUAUGGCAGACGCGAAGCCGGGUGAGCUAUCCAUGGGCAGGCUGAAGCGGGGGUAAGACCCCGUGGAGGGCCGAACCCACUUCGGUUGAAAACGGAGGGGAUGACCUGUGGAUAGGGGUGAAAGGCCAAUCAAACCCGGAGAUAUCUCGUUCUCCCCGAAAUAGCUUUAGGGCUAGCCUCGGGCAUUUCCCCGGCGCAGGUAGAGCACCGGAUCCCAAAGGGGGCUUCACCGCCUGCCGAUGGGAGCCGAACUCCGAAUGGUGUCGGGAUAAAAAGCCCGGGAGUCAGAGCGUGUGGGCUAAGCCGCACGCUCAAAAGGGAAACAGCCCAGACCGCCCGCUAAGGCCCCCAAGUCCAUGCUCAGUGGCAAAGGAUGUGCGCCUGCCUAGACAACCAGGAUGUUGGCUUAGAAGCAGCCAUGCAUUUAAAGAGUGCGUAACAGCUCACUGGUCAAGUGGACAUGCGCCGACAAUUCACGGGGCUCAAGCAUGGCGCCGAAGCGGCGGGCUUAAAGAGGUUUUCUUUAAGCGGUAGGGGAGCGUUGCCAACAGCGAUGAAGCGCAAGGGCGAUCUUGCGUGGAGUGUUGGCAAGUGAGAAUGCUGGCAUGAGUAGCGACAAGCGGCGUGAGAAACGCCGCCGCCGUAAGCCUAAGGUUUCCUGGGGAAGGCUAAUCCCCCCAGGGUCAGUCGGGAGCUAAGGUGAGGCAGACAUGCGCAACCGAUGCACGACAGGUCGAUAUUCCUGUACCAUCUCGUGUCGUUUUAUCCAAUGAGGCGACGGAGGAGGAUAGGCGGGCGGGGUUCUGGACGUCCCCGUGAAAGCGUGUAGGGUGUUCUGGCAGGCAAAUCCGCGAGAACAUAUGCCUGAGACGCGAGACGAAGCCAUUUUGGCAAAGCCGCCAAGUCCAUGCUCCCAAGAAAAACCCCUAGGGAGACACGAGGUGCCCGUACCAAAACCGACACAGGUAGGCGGGUAGAGCAUACCGAGGCGAUCGGGAGAACCAUGGUUAAGGAACUCGGCAUACUAGCCCCGUAACUUCGGGAGAAGGGGCGCCUUUCCUCGUGAAGCUUUUCACAAGUCCAAGCGAGGGGAGGCCGCAGUGAAGAGGCCCAAGCGACUGUUUACCAAAAACACAGGACUCUGCCAAGCCGCAAGGCGAAGUAUAGGGUCUGACGCCUGCCCGGUGCCGGAAGGUCACGCGGAUGCGUUAGGGUGUAUACCCGAAGCGCUGAAGCUAAGCCCCGGUAAACGGCGGCCGUAACUAUAACGGUCCUAAGGUAGCGAAAUUCCUUGUCGGGU
rnacentral:rRNA from 1 species